AUCGAAGGGGUGCGGUCAAAGCAGAGCCCAGCUCAUCCCAACGCUCUGUCUCUCCCAGACGCACUUCCUCUCUCCCCCCGUUCUGCUCUUUCUCGAAACCGGGCAGAAACGCCGAGCGCGGCCGGCUCGAUCUACCUCGUCCGGCCACCACCGACGCCAUCCCUAGUACCUACAGAAUCCCCUCGUCCUCCUCUACUUGAUCCCCUCACUCGCCGCCGCCGCCGCCUGGAACAACAUCGCAACCAACACUAGCGCCUUCGCCCUGGGUCCGACGGGCUCGCCGCCGUCCCCAACAACGACUACUCCUACCCUCCUUCUUGCGCUCUCCAUCUACGCCGCCUCGUCCAACAAGGCACACGGCCAUGCCCGACAGGGGGCGGCCAUCACUGGCCGUACGGCUCGACGGCCAUGGUCGUCGCCGACAUCGACGCCACUGGGGCCGGACCGAGACUCUCGCGGCCGAGGCAGCGCCACGGCCAGCGCGAGUGAAGUAAGUGCUACAUGAGAAGGGUAAAAAGCACAAGCAAGUGGCUGUGCUAGUACCUGACGAAACACCACCAAGGAUCAAUCAGAGAUGCCCAGCACAGGGAUGACUAUGUGAGACUAGAUGUGGUGGAGAAAAGGGGUGGUCUGAGAAUGGCGUGUGCGGUCGAAAAUGUGGAGCAGUGAAAAGGACGGUCUAUAUAUAGUAGGGAGAGGCUAGGUCGGUUUAGCACAAUUUGUGCCAAGUGGGAUGCAUGCACAGCUUUGAUGUACAUGCGUGUGUACACUUGUAUCUCUUCUAGCUUUAAUUUUUACAAGUGGUGAAAGUGAGCUGGUUGUGAGUUGGCUAUUACCUUGCCACUAAGGAAGUUUGGGCAGGGACUUAAUUGCAAAUUUCGAAAUUGAGCUAGGACUCUGAAGUAAAACUGAUGUAUAAGAACUUUGUAAAUAAAUAUUGUGGUAA